UCUUUGUGAAUUUCUGGCCGAAUGUCUGCUACUUUUUGUCAAAGAAGUUUUGUUUUCUGUUUUUUUCCUUUUCUUACAGUUGUCCUUGGUUUGGCAUAUUUCUUCUUCACUUCCUUUUGGCAUUGAGUAUAUCAAUUGCCGAAACUCAAAUCUCUGUAUGAUUCUUGGAUGGUUUUUUAACUUCCCCUUUCUAAAGUUGUCAGCUUUUUAGUGAUUUUGUCUUGAUCCCUGCCUGAGUGUGAUGCUCUCUGCUUUUAGAAUUCAAGCAGUCAACUUUGCAGUGUUUUGUUUCUUCUUUUUUAUUUUGCGCUGUUAAGCACUAGAAUCACUGCCAUGCCUGGCUGAUAAUUGCUUGUGAGUACUUCUUUAGUUUUCUUUCCUCGUUUCCUCAUAGCUUUGCUAAAGCUGUUACAACUUUUCAGUGCUCCAUGCUCCAAAGGCUCAUGUUUCAGCGCGAUACAGCUUUGAAAACUCCAAACGCGUGCCCAAAGUAGUCCUGGUGGAUACCGAUGGCUUACUCCCGGACCAGAAAAACGUCUCCGAGACUUCAAUCGCAAACCAAAACGCAAACCAAAACAUGUUAACAAUUCUCGUCUUCUGGCAUUCAUCUCUAUGUUUUCUAAACUUGAUCACCGCUUGUCACAAGCAAACUACAGCCUCAUCCUUGAAAAAACUGGAACUGGCACACUAUAAAUGAUCUUGCUGGAAACAUUUGCGAGAAAAGAGGAGAGAGGAGAUCUGCUGGCCCUGGCAACUCGGUUCUUUCUUCUUGUGGUGUGGAGGAAAGGAAGACCAGGUUUCAGCUUUUAGUUCUGAAAGAUCAAAGUUAUACCACCACUCAAAUGUGGAGAGUGACAUUGGAAGCUGACGAAUCUUUUCUUCACACAGACAUCCUUCUUGUCGCUGACACACAAGUUCUUGUUUUUGGUUCAUUUUUUUCCGUUGCUUUUUUCUUUUAGAAACCGUGCUGCUAUUCGUUUCUAACUUGGUUUGUCUAUUGCUGUUUACCGGACAGAUGUUGGGGAAAAACCGUUUCUUUUCGACAACCAAUUGUCAAAAGGAUUGUAAGCGCAAAGGACCGAUAGCGAAUCUUGCAACCCUGGUCUCGGUUUUCAACUGGUGAAAAAUUGUCAUUUGGCCACUGGACUGGAGUGGAGGGAGCUUUAUGGUAUCUAUAUUUUUACAGAACUUUAGCCUUUUUUCUCCAGGCUUGAAGUUUCCAUACAAACUUGCGAAAUCCAGCUUGAGUUUUGCACGCCACCACCGGACUCGUCCCUGCUUUUUAGUCAGCUUGGGAGUAAAAAAUGUUCUUUCUUUUGUUUCUUGCUCAGAUCCGGUCAGUGUUCUUGAAAAUUGUCAAAGGGGCGGUUCCAAA